AGAUUGAACGCUGGCGGCAGGCCUAACACAUGCAAGUCGAGCGGCAGCACGGGUACUUGUACCUGGUGGCGAGCGGCGGACGGGUGAGUAAUGCCUAGGAAUCUGCCUGGUAGUGGGGGAUAACGCUCGGAAACGGACGCUAAUACCGCAUACGUCCUACGGGAGAAAGCAGGGGACCUUCGGGCCUUGCGCUAUCAGAUGAGCCUAGGUCGGAUUAGCUAGUUGGUGAGGUAUGGCUCACCAAGGCGACGAUCCGUAACUGGUCUGAGAGGAUGAUCAGUCA
rnacentral:rRNA from 1 species